ACUUAAAUAGCUUAUGUUUUAGAGCAUAACAUUGAAGAUGUUAAUGAGGUUAUAUUUAAUCUUUAAGUA
rnacentral:tRNA from 1 species